UGGGGAAUAUUGCACAAUGGGCGCAAGCCUGAUGCAGCCAUGCCGCGUGUAUGAAGAAGGCCUUCGGGUUGUAAAGUACUUUCAGCGAGGAGGAAGGCGGUAAGGUUAAUAACCUUAUCGAUUGACGUUACUCGCAGAAGAAGCACCGGCUAACUCCGUGCCAGCAGCCGCGGUAAUACGGAGGGAGCAAGCGUUAAACGGAAUUACUGGGCGUAAAGCGCACGCAGGCGGUCUGUCAAGUCGGAUGUGAAAUCCCCAGGCUCAACCUGGGAACUGCAUUCGAAACUGGCAGGCUAGAGUCUUGUAGAGGGGGGUAGAAUUCCAGGUGUAGCGGUGAAAUGCGUAGAGAUCUGGAGGAAUACCGGUGGCGAAGGCGGCCCCCUGGACAAAGACUGACGCUCAGGUGCGAAAGCGUGGGGAGCAAACA
rnacentral:rRNA from 1 species